CUCAACCCAGAGGAGAAAAGACUUCUAUGCCUCAGACGCUUGGUGAUCUGGCAUGAUUUGGCCCUGGCCCACUUCAUCUUUCAGUUCACGGUCUGCAGCACUCCUCACGAAUAUUGCAGAAGAGCCACUGGCUGAGAGUAUUUUUAAAUGGAAACCCCAGAAACCAAACGGUCCUGUGCUUGGGGCUAGCUUUGUUCAAGAAUGAAAGGAGACAGUCUUGGCGGGCUGAGUGAGGGAAAAUGGUCUGUUUGAAGGGGAAAGAUGAAUUACUUCAAAAUAGCCUGCAGAACUUGGAUCAGAUCAUGGAGCGGUGGAAGCCUUUUCUCCAGCAAGAUCUUACAGAACAAGCAUCAUCUAGAACAUUUGGCGAAAGCUGGCAUGGGUAGCUCAGAGACUCACAUUAGCUACCCGCUCUCUCCCCAGAUGCCACCAUAGUAACCUUAAGGUUGCAGGGAACUCAGCGUGAACAUCACCAGUUCAACAGCUUCAUUCAAAAAGGAGAAAAACAGCUGGGAGCAGUGACUCACACCUGUAAUCCCAGCACUUUGGGAGGCCGAGGCAGGUAGAUCACCUGAGGCAGGAGUUCGAGACCAGCCUGGCCAACAUGGUGAAACC
rnacentral:lncRNA from 10 species